UUUAAGAGUCCACAACUGAUGACGUCCUCAUAAGCAGCUCUGUAUUUCACCUGAUGGGACUAAACACACCACAAAUACCAGGUGUUCCUUAGAACUUACAAGGUACUGAAACAGAAAAUUCACAUGAAACGAUGCUUAUAAAGACACGAAUUAGCAGGUGCAAAGACACACCGUGCAAGGGAGUGUCUAUCUACUGUUUCAGAUUUUAGACCAUUACAACAAAAUUUUAACAUGAAUAUGCACUUUACUAAUUCAGACUGAUAUUUUUGAAGACUCCAAAAUGUGGAAUUUUUCAGGAAAAAAAGAUUUUUUUCCUUUCUUUUAAGGAAAAAAGAAAAAAAAACUGCAGAGAUUUGUCUUACUGGAUGAAAUGGCAAUUGGUCUAUACAAACUCACAUGCAAAUGAAGUGAAUCUAAAUGUUUGAAAGCAUGGUACUUGCUUAUAUUCUAAGCAACCCCUGUGAAUAAUGACAUCAUUAAUUACACUAAUAUAAUUUGUUAAGAAAAUGCAAGGAGGCUGUAUUUAUUUAUUUAUUCAUUCACUUAGGUUCUGGUUUGUGUAAGACACUCUUUUGUGCUGAAAUCAUUCAAACUUCAAAUUUAAGCAGUCCACUAACAG
rnacentral:lncRNA from 1 species